UUCGCACCAUCCCCCACAUUUUGGGCCCUGGUGGUCGGUGUCGCUAUUUUCGGGCUCCCGUGACCUAGCACACAUUAUUUAUGGCCGAAAACACGUUCGGAGGUUAUUUUUGCCUCUUCGGUCCAUUCCCACGUUUUCGACCCUGGUGGCCGGUAUCGCUGUUUUCGGGCUCCUUAGACCUAUAGCUUAAAUUUUCAUGGCCAAAACGCGUUCGGUGGCCAUUUUCCCGUCUU
rnacentral:lncRNA from 1 species